UCGGACAUGGUGUAUGGUACACAGCGCGUUCAUUUACUGAUGAACCCUAACGGUGUAACUCGCAGAUCGGGGUUCGACUCCCUGUGUCCGAA